AGAGUUUGAUCCUGGCUCAGAACGAACGCUGGCGGUAUGCUUAACACAUGCAAGUCGAACGAACAAGAUCAGGGCUUGCUCUGAUCUUAGUGAGUGGCAAACGGGUGAGUAACGCGUGGGAAUCUACCCAUCAGUACGGAAUAACAUUUGGAAACAGAUGCUAAUACCGUAUAUUCUCUAAGGAGGAAAGAUUUAUCGCU
rnacentral:rRNA from 1 species